UGCCAGCCGCCGCGGUAAUACGGAGGGUGCAAGCGUUAAUCGGAAUUACUGGGCGUAAAGCGCGCGUAGGUGGCUUAUUAAGUCAGAUGUGAAAGCCCCGGGCUUAACCUGGGAACUGCAUUUGAUACUGGUUCGCUAGAGUAUGGUAGAGGGAAGUGGAAUUCCACAUGUAGCGGUGAAAUGCGUAGAGAUGUGGAGGAACACCAGUGGCGAAGGCGACUUCCUGGACCAAUACUGACACUGAGGUGCGAAAGCGUGGGGAGCAAACAGGAUUAGAUA
rnacentral:rRNA from 1 species